CUUUCGGAGCUGUGCGGCAUUCUGAGCAGGAAUGGCAGUGUGGACCUCUGUGAUGGGACAUCUUGUGGGAUCUCACAGCCAGUUCUGUGGCAAAGGAGGAUGAAGGCUUACGAGGUGCUAGAAUAGAAGACCAGAAAAUGAAAUGGUGGAGUUUGAGGCUGGAUAGACAGUUUGAAAGGUAUUAAUGGGUCACCUCAAGUGAAGGCACUGCAAACACAAUGAUUGGUCAUUCUGAAUUUCCGGUCCUUCAUUCUGAAUUUCAAAGGCUCCUGUGACAAGUGGACAUGCAGUGACUGCACCUUUGUUUCUGAGGUGCCUGGAUGGAGGCUCAAAUAGAAGAUGGUGUCAGAUAUAUUGUGUUAAAAUUUUACCAUUAAAGUGUAUUAUAACAUGAA
rnacentral:lncRNA from 1 species